CUAUUGGACCCCACUACACAUAACAUCAAGAGCAUUGACGUGCUUGUAAAAAAAAAAACUGUGUGAUGUGAACGCGCAAAUGUACAACUACACAGCCGACUGACUAUAAAAAAAACCUUAUCUUAAGUACAGAUAGCGAUAAUGGACACUCCAUAUAUCGGUAUAUAAGGCACUAAAGUUGCUAAACUAAAACAAAAAAGAAAAGGAAUUAAAUUAAAAGAAAUUGAAUAUAUUUAUUAAAAAAAAAGAAGUUUGACAGUGAAAAAUGAAUGUAAAGGUUAAAGUCUGCAUCAAGCUUUCAGCAGAUACAACAUGGGUUGCUUGUGAAUAUUGGCAUAAGUAUCAACGGAUUUUCAGAACCAUUUUCAAAAAGGGUGAGGUUGGUAAAGACUAUCAGCUUCUGCAGGCUAAAAGCAACUAUUUUAUUUAUCAUCGAAAUUUCGUAAUAUUGAUCAAUUUAAUAUUAUUGUUCCAUCUAAAGCCACUACUCACUCAAUUGUUUUGCCUUCACAAAACCCGUCCACUAACACUUUUUACUCGCAACCAAUCUCGUACUUCAAGGAAUAUUAUAAAAAAAUAAUUUACGAAAUCGGUCCAGCUGCGUCUUUCAAGACCCAAUUCUAAAGAUUUUUAUUGUCAGACUUCAUUGAAGGUAGGAGAUGUAAUGAUUAAUAUUAAUAAAAGCUAAAAAUAUAAAACGUUAAUAAAAUAAUGAUUAUAAAUAAAAU